GCUGGGCAUGGUGGCGCAUGCCUGUAAUCCCAGCUACUCGGGAGGCUGAGGCAGGAGAAUCGCUUGAGCCCGGGAGGCGGAGGUUGUGGUGAGCCGAGAUGGUGCCACUGCACUCCAGCCUGGGCGACAGAGUGAAAUUCUGUCUCAA
rnacentral:SRP_RNA from 1 species